UCUCAUCUCCUCCAGGACACCCAGAAGACCGGCUUUGAAGAACACCUGAGACACAGUUAAAUGAAGAAGAAAGAACAAAAGGAUGGAUAGAUCAACUGGAGAGAUUUUAUAUGGUUUCUUACAUAGAUCAUCCAUGCUGCAUAACGCUCUUUGAGGUUAUACAACACAGAGGCUUCAUUCAGG